UGAUCGUGCCAGUAGCAUACGCUUGUCUCAAAGACUAAGCCAUGCAUGUCUAAGUAUGAACGCUUUUAUUCUGUGUACUAGUGACUGGCUCAUUAUAUCAGUGCUAGUUUAUUUGAUGGUCCUUGCUACUUGGAUAACGGUAGUAAUUCUAGAGCUCAUACAUGCAUUAAUCCCUGAGGUAUGGAAGGGGUGUGUUUCUUAGAUUGAAAUCAAUGCGGGGCUACCCGGAUUCUGGUGAUUCCUAAUAACGUCCGGAUCGACUUCGGUCGAUGCAUCAUGGAAGUUUCUGCCAUAUCAGCUUGGGAUGGUAGGGUAUUGACGUUCCAUGGCUUUAACGGGUAACGGGGAAUUCGGCUUCGAUUCCGGAGAGGGAGCUUGAGACAUUGCUGCCACAUCCAGAGGAAGGCAGCAGGUGGGUAAAUUACUCAAUCGGGUCACCGGGAGGUAGGGACAAUAAAUGACAAUGCCGGGGUUUUAUAAGUCCGGCAAUUGGAAUGAGAACAAUUUAAAUCCUUUAUUGAGGAUCA
rnacentral:rRNA from 1 species